UGGGAGGUCGUCUAACGGCAGGACAGGGGCCUUUGGAGCCCCCGAUGAAGGUUCGACCCCUUCCCUCCCAGCCA
rnacentral:tRNA from 1 species